UAGUAAUCUCUGGUGUUAAA
rnacentral:misc_RNA from 1 species